GAUGAACGCUGGCGGCGUGCCUAAUACAUGCAAGUCGAGCGAACGGACGAGAAGCUUGCUUCUCUGAUGUUAGCGGCGGACGGGUGAGUAACACGUGGAUAACCUACCUAUAAGACUGGGAUAACUUCGGGAAACCGGAGCUAAUACCGGAUAAUAUUUUGAACCGCAUGGUUCAAAAGUGAAAGACGGUCUUGCUGUCACUUAUAGAUGGAUCCGCGCUGCAUUAGCUAGUUGGUAAGGUAACGGCUUACCAAGGCAACGAUGCAUAGCCGACCUGAGAGGGUGAUCGGCCACACUGGAACUGAGACACGGUCCAGACUCCUACGGGAGGCAGCAGUAGGGAAUCUUCCGCAAUGGGCGAAAGCCUGACGGAGCAACGCCGCGUGAGUGAUGAAGGUCUUCGGAUCGUAAAACUCUGUUAUUAGGGAAGAACAUAUGUGUAAGUAACUGUGCACAUCUUGACGGUACCUAAUCAGAAAGCCACGGCUAACUACGUGCCAGCAGCCGCGGUAAUACGUAGGCGGCAAGCGUUAUCCGGAAUUAUUGGGCGUAAAGCGCGCGUAGGCGGUUUUUUAAGUCUGAUGUGAAAGCCCACGGCUCAACCGUGGAGGGUCAUUGGAAACUGGAAAACUUGAGUGCAGAAGAGGAAAGUGGAAUUCCAUGUGUAGCGGUGAAAUGCGCAGAGAUAUGGAGGAACACCAGUGGCGAAGGCGACUUUCUGGUCUGUAACUGACGCUGAUGUGCGAAAGCGUGGGGAUCAAACAGGAUUAGAUACCCUGGUAGUCCACGCCGUAAACGAUGAGUGCUAAGUGUUAGGGGGUUUCCGCCCCUUAGUGCUGCAGCUAACGCAUUAAGCACUCCGCCUGGGGGGUACGACCGCAAGGUUGAAACUCAAAGGAAUUGACGGGGACCCGCACAAGCGGUGGAGCAUGUGGUUUAAUUCGAAGCAACGCGAAGAACCUUACCAAAUCUUGACAUCCUUUGACAACUCUAGAGAUAGAGCCUUCCCCUUCGGGGGACAAAGUGACAGGUGGUGCAUGGUUGUCGUCAGCUCGUGUCGUGAGAUGUUGGGUUAAGUCCCGCAACGAGCGCAACCCUUAAGCUUAGUUGCCAUCAUUAAGUUGGGCACUCUAAGUUGACUGCCGGUGACAAACCGGAGGAAGGUGGGGAUGACGUCAAAUCAUCAUGCCCCUUAUGAUUUGGGCUACACACGUGCUACAAUGGACAAUACAAAGGGCAGCGAAACCGCGAGGUCAAGCAAAUCCCAUAAAGUUGUUCUCAGUUCGGAUUGUAGUCUGCAACUCGACUACAUGAAGCUGGAAUCGCUAGUAAUCGUAGAUCAGCAUGCUACGGUGAAUACGUUCCCGGGUCU
rnacentral:rRNA from 1 species